UACAACAUCUCCCUGAAUGUGCAAUGUCUUUCCUGCUCGGGAGUGCUGCGUCCUUCAGAGUGGAUUGGUUCCUCUUUCGGAGCAGAGAUACUGCAGACACCAGAGAAAGAAAGAGGAGAAAGGUUAUUUCCCUUACUUUCUUAUCCUUAUGCAUACAGUAUAUCUGGAGAUCUUGGAGUCUGAACUGUUGAGGACUUCCAGCUAGAACCAAAAUGAGAUCUGUUCUGAACAUCUGAAGUACCAGGUAAUACAAGGCACUCUGAAAUUCAUGUAAUGAGUGUCAGAUUUGAUUAUCCUAAAUUUAGAAAUACUUCUUCAAAUUUAUGUUUCUUUUCCCUACCUGACAAGUAUCCCUGACUUUCCAUUGUCUCACAGUGGUGGUGUGAAAUUAUACUGAAAUAUAUUUGUGAAACAUUCAAUUAAUUCAGAAAAGCCAAUAUGUAAAUAAAUAAUUCCCCCUUAAGAAAAAAUAAAAUAAUUAAAUAAAAAUGCUUGGCAAAUAAAUCCAAUUGAGAUAUACAAGUGAGCUCUAUUCAUUUUGUAUAUUGAAGAAUCUUCCUGUUCAACUUGUUCCAGUCUCUGUUCCCUGCUGUUUCUAUUUUUCCUCUGUUGCAGUUUCCAGUCAGACCAGUAUAAUUCUGUACUAGGUCUGGCUGGAAUGGAGUCAACUUCCUUUGUAGCAUCCCAUAUGGUGCUGUGUUUUACAUUUCUGACCAAAACUGUGUUGAUAAUAUACCAGUGUUUUAGCAAUUGCUGAGUGGUGCUUGCAUAAUAUCAGGGACUUUGUUUUCUCACUCUGCUCCCACAGGGACUGGGCUGAGAGUGGGCAAGAUGUUGGGAGAGGACAAAACUGGGAGAGCUGACCCCAGCUGACCAAAGAUAUAUUCCAUGCCAUAUGAUGCUAUGCUCAGCAAUAAAACUAGCGGUCAGGGGAGUAAUUUCUCCAAGGUACCCAUUGCUUGGAGACUAAUUUCUCUCAAGGUAGGCAUUGCUUGGGCACUGGUCUGUUUGUUGGAGGUGGUAAGUGACUCUUUGUACCACUUGUUCCUUUGGGAUUUUUUUUCCUUUAUUUUCUUCACUUAUUAAAUUGUUUUUAUUGUGA